rnacentral:rRNA from 1 species
UAUCAAUAAGCGGAGGAAAAGAAACCAACAGGGAUUGCCUCAGUAACGGCGAGUGUUGCGCAACAGCUCAAAUUUGNAAUCUGGCUGCUGNNNNNAGUCCGAGUUGUAAUUUGAAGAGGAUGUUUUGCAAGGUGCCUUCCGAGUUCCCUGGAAUGGGACGCCAUAGAGGGUGAGAGCCCCGUAUGGUCGGUCGCCGAGCCUCUGUAAAGCUCCUUCGACGAGUCGAGUAGUUUGGGAAUGCUGCUCAAAAUGGGAGGUAAACCCCUUCUAAAGCUAAAUAUUGGCCAGAGACCGAUAGCGCACAAGUAGAGUGAUCGAAAGAUGAAAAGCACUUUGAAAAGAGAGUUAAACAGCACGUGAAAUUGUUGAAAGGGAAGCGCUUGCGACCAGACUUGUGCUCGUCGAAUCAGCCGUCGCUCGUCGGCGGCGCAUUUCGGCGGGCUCAGGCCAGCAUCAGUUCGCUGUAGGGGGAGAAAGGCGGUAGGAAUGUGGCUCUUCGGAGUGUUAUAGCCUACCGUAUAAUACCCCUCGGUGGACUGAGGACCGCGCAUCUGCAAGGAUGCUGGCGUAAUGGUUGUCAGCGACCCGUCUUGAAACACGGACCAAGGAGUCGUCCUAAUAUGCGAGUGUUCGGGUGUAAAACCCCUACGCGUAAUGAAAGUGAACGGAGGUGAGAGCUUCGGCGCAUCAUCGACCGAUCCUGAUGUUCUCGGAUGGAUUUGAGUAUGAGCAUAUUGGGCCGGACCCGAAAGAAGGUGAACUAUGCCUGUAUAGGGUAAAGCCAGAGGAAACUCUGGUGGAGGCUCGCAGCGGUUCUGACGUGCAAAUCGAUCGUCAAAUAUGGGCAUGGGGGCGAAAGACUAAUCGAACCUUC